rnacentral:lncRNA from 1 species
UACAACCAGAACUUUCUCCUAAUUUUAUUCAAUCAUGUAGUAAUCUCUUUCUCAAGAUCAAUUACCCUAUCUACUUCAUAAUAACACACAUAUCUCUAUGGAUUAAUAUAAAUCGGUGCAUUAACAUUCAAUCAUCAAAUAUAUUGAUCACACCAAGUAUCUCUACUCACAUUCAAUCAAUUGUGCUUACUUGAUAUUAUAAUGAACAAUCAAUUUUUCAAUCCAAUCAUUCAUCAUAA